rnacentral:rRNA from 1 species
UACGUAGAGUGCAAGCGUUAAUCGGAAUUACUGGGCGUAAAGCGUGCGCAGGCGGUUUUGUAAGUCUGUCGUGAAAUCCCCGGGCUCAACCUGGGAAUUGCGAUGGAGACUGCAAGGCUAGAAUCUGGCAGAGGGGGGUAGAAUUCCACGUGUAGCAGUGAAAUGCGUAGAGAUGUGGAGGAACACCGAUGGCGAAGGCAGCCCCCUGGGUCAAGAUUGACGCUCAUGCACGAAAGCGUGGGGAGCAAACAGG